rnacentral:rRNA from 1 species
CGGGUGAGUAACACGUGGAUAACCUACCUAUAAGACUGGGAUAACUUCGGGAAACCGGAGCUAAUACCGGAUAAUAUUUUGAACCGCAUGGUUCAAAAGUGAAAGACGGUCUUGCUGUCACUUAUAGAUGGAUCCGCGCUGCAUUAGCUAGUUGGUAAGGUAACGGCUUACAAGGCAACGAUGCAUAGCCGACCUGAGAGGGUGAUCGGCCACACUGGAACUGAGACACGGUCCAG